CAUCCUAUAAGUCUGAUCCUCCACUUCUCAGUGAACACCGUUAACAACCACCCAUACCUCCACCUUCUCCCUCUUAACUCUUCUCCUUCUGUUCCAGUAAUACGGGCACUCAGUGAAGAAUCUGAUCACCUCAGUUAGAAACUCAUUAACUCAAAUGUUUCUGAUCAUCAUUUCCUGGCUAUUAGAGUCUCUGUGUUGUGUUUGGAUGGAUUUUGGAGCAGCCCUCCAGGCGACGGCUGUGUCUCCUCCCGUCUGCAGGAUGUCACUCAGGUGAACGGCAGCGAUGUCAGCUGACAGCUUCACCUCAGCUGACUGACAGGAACUGAAAUUGAAGAAGAAGACGAGACGACAGCAGAGCUGAUCACACACCAAACGCCACCUUCUUACCAGCAGGGAGGGGACUGGUGUUUAUCUCCCAGCAUGCAGCAGCGUCUGCAGAUAAACCAGGCAUGAUCAUCAUCCAAACAUGGAAACCUUCACACCACAGUAGGAUCGCUGCAGUGAUGGAGCAGCAGCGGGCAGGUGGAGGUGAACUGGUUCCUCCGUCACAUCUCAGCUCAAACAGCAGCUCCUGCUCCGUAUGUAUCACCAGAGGACUGAAAUACGAGUCUGAUCCAGUGGCUCUGAAAGCGACUUAAUUUCUUACCGAGGUGUAUCACCAUGGCAACAGAUGCUGGAAUCUGCACCUGCUCUGCAGCUGGAUGCAGACUGAGACACUUGCAGCAGGUCUGUUUAUUAAAACCAAUCAGAUCAUUUUCACAAUGAGGCGGUGAUGUUACUUUGAUUUAUUUAUACAUCCCGUCUCCUGUUUGAGUAAAUAACCAUUAUCAUAGUAAAAUCUCAACGGUUAACAGAAGAUAACCUCACAUGUUGAACCUUCAGACCUCACUGCACUAAUGGAAUAUUAUAAAUUAAAUCAUUCGUUGUUUUUCUCUGACAGACGUCACCAAUCAAACAUGACAUUUAAUUCUUUCCCCACAGUUUGUUUUAUCUUUGAAUGAGACC